AAACCACCAGGGAUUGCCUCAGUAACGGCGAGUGAAGCGGCAAAAGCUCAAAUUUGAAACCCUCGGGAUUGUAAUUUGAAGACCUGGCAUUGGAGAAAGCUACCCCAAGUUGCUUGGAAUAGUACGUCAUAGAGGGUGACAACCCCGUCUGGCUAACCGUUCUCCAUGUAUUGCCUUGUCAAAGAGUCGAGUUGUUUGGGAAUGCAGCUCAAAGUGGGUGGUAAACUCCAUCUAAAGCUAAAUACCGGUGAGAGACCGAUAGCGAACAAGUACUGUGAAGGAAAGGUGAAAAGAACUUUGAAAAGAGAGUGAAAUAGUAUGUGAAAUUGUUGAUAGGGAAGGAAAUGAGUGGAGAGUGGAGGAGGUUUCAGCCGUCUUUCGAGGCGGUGUACUGCCGAGUCCGAGUCAUUGUCAGCGAGACGGGGUAUACAAACGAGUGGCACUUGUGCUUCCCACCUAUACCCGCCCACUGCCGACAACGACAUAAUCCAGCCAUUUCAC
rnacentral:rRNA from 4 species